rnacentral:rRNA from 1 species
CCUACGGGAGGCAGCAGUGAGGAAUAUUGGUCAAUGGCCGGAAGGCUGAACCAGCCAAGCCGCGUGAAGGACGAAGGUGCCAAGCAUUGUAAACUUCUUUUGUCAAGGGACAAAAUCAGGCUCGAGAGCCUGACCGAGGGUACUUGAAGAAAAAGCAUCGGCAAACUCCGUGCCAGCAGCCGCGGUAAUACGGAGGAUGCGAGGGUUACCCGGAUUUAUUGGGUUAAAAGGGUGCGUAGGCGGGCUGUGUAGUCAGCGGUAAAAGCCCGGGGGUCAACCCCGGCGUGCCGUUGAAACUGGCUUGCUUGAGAUGUCGAGAGGUAUGCGGAAUGCGCAGUGUAGCGGUGAAAUGCUUAGAUAUUGCGCAGAACUCCGAUUGCGAAGGCAGCAUACCGGCGGCGAUCUGACGCUGAGGCACGAAAGCGUGGGUAUCGAACAGGAUCAGAUACCCUUGUAGUC